GGGGAUUUAGCUCAGUGGUAGAGCGCUUGCCUAGCAAGUGCAAGGCCCUGGGUUCGAUCCCCAGCUCCG
rfam:Rattus norvegicus chromosome 12, whole genome shotgun sequence.